CCUACGGGAGGCAGCAGGGAGGAAUAGUGGGCAAUGGGCGCGAGCCUGAACCAGCCAAGUCGCGUGAGGGAAGACGGUCCUAUGGAUUGUAAACCUCUUUUGUCGGGGAGCAAAAGACGCCACGCGUGGCGUUCCGAGAGUACCCGAAGAAAAAGCAUCGGCUAACUACGUGCCAGCAGCCGCGGUAAUACGGAGGAUGCGAGCGUUAUCCGGAUUUAUUGGGUUUAAAGGGUGCGCAGGCGGAAGAUCAAGUCAGCGGUAAAAUUGAGGGGCUCAACCUCUUCGAGCCGUUGAAACUGGUUUUCUGGAGUGGGCGAGAGGUAUGCGGAAUGCGUGGUGUAGCGGUGAAAUGCAUAGAUAUCACGCAGAACUCCGAUUGCGAAGGCAGCAUACCGGCGCUCAACUGACGCUCAUGCACGAAAGUGUGGGUAUCGAACAGGAUUAGAUACCCUUGUAGUC
rnacentral:rRNA from 1 species